rnacentral:rRNA from 1 species
AGUGGCGCACGGGUGAGUAAAACGUAAGUAAUCUACCCUCGAGUGGGGAAUAACGUCCGGAAACGGACGCUAAUACCGCAUAAUGCAGCGGCACCGCAAGGUGACAGUUGUUAAAGGAGUAAUUCGCUUGAGGAGGAGCUUGAGGCAGAUUACCUUGUUGGUAAGGUAACGGCUUACCAAGGCUACGAUCUGUAACCGGUCUAAGAGGACGGUCGGUCACACUGACUCUGAAUAACGGGUCAAACUCCUACGGGAGGCAGCAGUCGGGAAUUUUGGGCAAUGGGCGAAAGCCUGACCCAGCAACGCCGCGUGAAGGAUGAAGUAUUUCGGUAUGUAAACUUCGAAAGAAUAGGAAGAAUAAAUGACGGUACUAUUUAUAAGGUCCGGCUAACUACGUGCCAGCAGCCGCGGUAAUACGUAGGGACCAAGCGUUGUUCGGAUUUACUGGGCGUAAAGGGCGCGUAGGCGGCUUGACAAGUCACUUGUGAAAUCUCCGGGCUUAACUCGGAACGGCCAAGUGA